UAUCUUCCUAACAAGGCUAAAUAAGCUCCGUGAGAGGGAGUCACUCAUGUGUACAUGGGGUAUCCUUCCCCAUACCUACAGUGUUGGGCUCACAGUAUGCACUUAAUGAACCUUCGCUGACAGUCAUUGAUUUGGAGUCUUCUCCAGAGCUAAUCCUGAUGAAGGUCACUAGGCAGAAGUCUUGCCUGGGUCAGAAUGACCGUUGUGGAACUGAACGGAAAGCAGAUCUGUGGGUUGGACUGGUUUUGCCCUGCACUGAUCUUGCCCCUCGGGCACCCAGAUUGGAAGUGCUGUUUUCCAGGACUCUGCACUGGCAGCCUGUCGUUUGGUAUUAUUUUUGACUUCGGUUAGUGUUUGCUGGUUUACAAUAGGGUUUCUGCUCACAGGUUUAAAACUGAUUGUGUUUAUCAUCUAUCAGCUUGAAUGUUAUUUCAACCAAGAAGCCUCCCCUGAUCUCCUUACCUAGAAGUAAUAUUUUCUUCCUCCAAGUUUUAUUAUAUGCUUUUUACCUCCACAUCAUCCAUCACUUUCUAAAUUUGUGUUAUAGUUAUUUAGACACACAUGUCAUCUCCCCUCCUAGAUUCUGUGUUUCCUGAAAUUUGAAUCCAUUCUUCCAUGGCUUGCUUUGUCCUAUAAUAAGAUAACAGCUACCAUGGUUCAAGAAGUUACUUGUGUGCCAAGCCCUUUACACGGGCAAUCCUGCUUAAGCCUCACAACUACUUCCCAUGAAGUAUUUUUAUCUGCAUUUUACAAGUGAUGAACCUGAAGUCCCAAAAGAUUAAUAUAAUAUCUGGUAUAAGGUGACAACAGUUACUGAGUGGUAGAGCCUGGAUUUGAACUCAAGUAGCUUGACUUGAGAGUCUUAACCACCGGGUCAUAGCACCUCUGAAUAGUACUUUCUGCACAUUAUCAGCAGUAAAGAUGCAGUAGACCCCUGUUAAAUGAAUUCAUUAAUCAGUUCAUUCAUGAUCCAAGAAUGUUGGGCAGCUGUUAGGAGACCAUCCCAGUUUCAGAUGCCUCUUCCGACCUACACCUUAGGACAGCUCAAACUGUAAAGGACUUAGGAAUAAAAUCAGAGUUAGAUCCUUUCAUAUCCAAACCACUAUCAAACUGAGUUCCACCAAGACUAACAUUAGUGACAUUAGAAUUAACUCAAGACAUUGCUUCACAGUGCCAUGCAGACCUAGCUGAGUCUGAUAACUUCCUAAAAAGGAGAGGUUACACAUCUCAAAGACCUGAAUUACGUAACUCUUUGAACUGCGGUGUUUGUUGUGUGUGUCAGAGGGAGAGGGCGGCCAUUUCUGCCUUGUAGGGUUAUUGUGAGGUUUAAUGAGAUAAUGUGAAGUGCCCAGAACAGUGCUUGGUACAUAGAAAGAACUUCACACGUUAACACUACCCUCCCCUCUAGCCUCAUCUCUGCUUUGCAGCUAAGCUGAAAGAAGGCACAAAGCCAAGAGGAGAGAUGAAAGAUGACAGCUGGCAAGACAAGAGAUGUUAGUCAGAUUCCACAGGGUUACGUGAUUGUGAAUCAGAGGUGUCAAGGUCCACUCCCAAGAUUCCAAAGAGCAGCUUUUAGUCUUGGCAGGAAAAGUUAGGCAGGAGAGGGAUCAGUGAGAGACCUAAUGGAAGAAAGAGGAAGUAUUUAUUCCAGGCAGAGGGAGAAAUUGGUCCAUGGGAUUCUUUUACUGUGAUGAGUGACUAUUUUGUUGGCCAGAAUUGGAUUAGUUCAAGGGCAUUCAAAGAUCUACAGAUCUCACUGAGUUGUCUGCAUUUUAUUGAGGAAGGGAAGAUUAAUUGCAGGCACCUGCCAGUCUAGUCAUCCCACUUAAUGUAACCAGUCCCAGAAAAUUCCUCUCUCAUUCCAGAAACCACUAAGUCUCCUGACUGUAUGAAGUUUGCACGUCUGUCUGGAAAAAGGCAGUUUGGGCCUCAUUCUUCCCAAGCAGUAGACAAAGCCAAUCUCAACAAAGCUGGAAGUUUGUCCUAAGAAUCUGGAAGGUCACUUAAAACAUAUUUCGACAACCUAUGUCUUAGAUAAAGCUCCACAGAAACAGACUCCUAGACAGAGAUGUGCAUGCAGAGCUCGUUGCUUUGUUGUUUAUGGGGAGUACAGAGUGACAACUCCUGGGAGUAAGGGAAGCAGAGUUGGACAGAGGGAGAAGUUGAACUGUAGUAUCGUUGCUAUAGAGGCUUCCGCUGGGCCUUGGGGGGCACAGAAUGACAAAAGCGCUAAGUUACCCCCAAUGAGACAAGAUGUGGGCCUUUGUAUCCCUUAGAGACCAUUCAUUUGAUGCUGCCUGACCCCAAGGAAGGGGUGCAGCCUCAUGCAAGGCCCUUGCUGAGAGCCAUUCCAGGAGAAGGAUUCAGCUAUGAGGCGCCGACAGCUAGCAGUGUAGCUGCAAGGAUCCGAAUAUCCACCACAGCCUGCUGUGCAACUCUGAGUCAUAUUAAAAACUCAAAACCUACUAGACAUGUUGAGACCCAAUGCUUGCUAAUGUUCGUCUGUUUUUGGAGUUGGUGUCUGGCUUCUCCACCAGUUGUGAGUUCCUGGAAAGGAGAUCUCAAGACCUAUUUCAUUUUCCUCCUAGUGAAGGAUGAUAUUCAUAAUAGUUGAUGCUCAGUACAGCACAGGCACUGACCAAUUCAAACUGACACAGGUUUUAAGCAAUUUGCAUGGCAAUAUUGCUGUAUAGAGCUGAAUAUUUGUUCUACACAUAGAAGGCAUCCAAUAAACAAUUUUGAAUUGAAUUUUA